GGUUCCAUGGUAGUACGGUUAGCACUCUGACUUCGAACCAGCGAUCCGAGUUCAAAUCUCGGUGGAACCU